rnacentral:rRNA from 1 species
GGGGAAUUGUUCGCAAUGGGCGCAAGCCUGACGACGCAACGCCGCGUGGAGGACGAAGAUUUUCGGAUCGUAAACUCCUUUCGAUCGGGACGAAUCGGUCGCGACUCAACACGUCGCGGCACUGACGGUACCGAGAGAAGAAGCCCCGGCUAACUCCGUGCCAGCAGCCGCGGUAAUACGGGGGGGGCAAGCGUUGUUCGGAAUUACUGGGCGUAAAGGGCGCGUAGGCGGCCUGCUAAGUCGGACGUGAAAUCCCCCGGCUCAACCGGGGAACUGCGUCCGAUACUGGUGGGCUCGAAUCCGGGAGAGGGAUGUGGAAUUCCAGGUGUAGCGGUGAAAUGCGUAGAUAUCUGGAGGAACACCGGUGGCGAAGGCGGCAUCCUGGACCGGUAUUGACGCUGAUGCGCGAAAGCCAGGGGAGCAA